ensembl:snoRNA SNORA71 Small nucleolar RNA SNORA71
CCCUGCAUUUGAAAAUGAUCAUGGUCUAACUGUGACCUGGUCAUUGAUAGUGUAGAAAGAGAAACUCUUGAAAGCGUUUUCCCAUAUUUGAAGGGUCAGCAUUCAGCCCUUUCAAACCCUGUACCUUUCAUACA